rnacentral:ncRNA from 2 species
CACUUGCAUUAAGAGAGGCAUAGGUGUUUUACACUGAUGCCCGGCAACCUGACAACCAAGGUGCCAAGCUUGUUCCAGCGUAAGCGGAAUGGCAAUGCGCCCCGAAAGGGGAACGUUGAAGAUGAUG